rnacentral:tRNA from 1 species
GCCGCGGGAGCCGCGGCCGGUGCGGGCGCAGCCUCAAGCGCUGCGGCGGAACCUGCUGCCGCUGCCGGUUGCGCGUCGCCCUGCGGCGC